rnacentral:rRNA from 1 species
UACGGAGGGUGCAAGCGUUAUCCGGAUUUACUGGGUUUAAAGGGUGCGUAGGUGGGUCUGUAAGUCAGUGGUGAAAUCUCCGAGCUUAACUCGGAAACUGCCAUUGAUACUAUAGAUCUUGAAUUAUCUGGAGGUGAGCGGAAUAUGUCAUGUAGCGGUGAAAUGCUUAGAUAUGACAUAGAACACCAAUUGCGAAGGCAGCUUACUACACAGUUAUUGACGCUGAGGCACGAAAGCGUGGGGAUCAAACAGG